rnacentral:lncRNA from 1 species
ACAAUUUUAAACACGAAAAAGGAUUGUGAAUCCACAUAGAGAACAAAAAACAACUUUAAACAAAACCAUCACCAAGAUCUAAUUUGUAUUAAAUUCCAACACUUACUCACCAUUCCGCUGCUGUCCCUACAAAAAUAAUCUCAUUCAACUCAAACCUAAUUUACUGUUUCUUAAAAUUAACAAACAAAAAUAACAGAUUAAGGGCUUUUCACUUUUCAAAUCUCUCUCUCUCUCUCUCUCUCUCUCUCUUUCCUUGCUAUUCAC